rnacentral:rRNA from 1 species
AUUGAACGCUGGCGGCAUGCCUUACACAUGCAAGUCGAACGGCAGCACGGGUGCUUGCACCUGGUGGCGAGUGGCGAACGGGUGAGUAAUACAUCGGAACAUGUCCUGUAGGGGGGGAAAGCCCGGCGAAAGCCGGAUAUAUACCGCAUACGAUGUACGGGAGAAAGGGGGGGACCUUCGGGCCUCGCGCUAAAGGGAUGGCCGAUGGCGGAUUAGCUAGUUGGUGGGGUAAAGGCCUACCAAGGCGACGAUCAGUAUCUGGUCUGAGAGGACGAACAGGCACACUGGGACUGAGACACGGCCCAGACUCCUACGGGAGGCAGCAGUGGGGAAUUUUGGACAAUGGGCGAAAGCCUGAUCCAGCAAUGCCGCGUGUGUGAAGAAGGCCUUCGGGUUGUAAAGCACUUUUGGCCGGAAAGAAAUGCUGUGCCCUAAUACGGUCGGGGGAUGACGGUACCGGAAGAAUAAGCACCGGCUAACUACGUG